rnacentral:rRNA from 1 species
AAUGGGCGCAAGCCUGAUCCAGCCAUACCGCGUGGGUGAAGAAGGCCUUCGGGUUGUAAAGCCCUUUUGUUGGGAAAGAAAAGCAUUCGGUUAAUACCCGAGUGUUCUGACGGUACCCAAAGAAUAAGCACCGGCUAACUUCGUGCCAGCAGCCGCGGUAAUACGAAGGGUGCAAGCGUUACUCGGAAUUACUGGGCGUAAAGCGUGCGUAGGUGGUGAUUUAAGUCCGUUGUGAAAGCCCUGGGCUCAACCUGGGAAUUGCAGUGGAUACUGGGUCACUAGAGUGUGGUAGAGGAUAGUGGAAUUUCCGGUGUAGCAGUGAAAUGCGUAGAGAUCGGAAGGAACAUCUGUGGCGAAGGCGACUAUCUGGGCCAACACUGACACUGAGGCACGAAAGCGUGGGGAGCAAA